rnacentral:rRNA from 1 species
AACGAACGCUGGCGGCAGGCUUAACACAUGCAAGUCGAGCGCCCCGCAAGGGGAGCGGCAGACGGGUGAGUAACGCGUGGGAAGCUACCCAUCUCUACGGAAUAACGCAUGGAAACGUGUGCUAAUACCGUAUACGUCCUUCGCGAGAAAGAUUUAUCGGAGAUGGAUGAGCCCGCGUUGGAUUAGCUAGUUGGUGGGGUAAAGGCCUACCAAGGCGACGAUCCAUAGCUGGUCUGAGAGGAUGAUCAGCCACACUGGGACUGAGACACGGCCCAGACUCCUACGGGAGGCAGCAGUGGGGAAUAUUGGACAAUGGGCGCAAGCCUGAUCCAGCCAUGCCGCGUGAGUGAUGAAGGCCCUAGGGUUGUAAAGCUCUUUCACCGGUGAAGAUAAUGACGGUAACCGGAGAAGAAGCCCCGGCUAACUUCGUGCCAGCCGCCGCAGUAAUAC